rnacentral:rRNA from 1 species
AGCGAACGCUGGCGGCAGGCCUAACACAUGCAAGUCGAACGAAGCCUUCGGGCUUAGUGGCGGACGGGUGAGUAACACGUGGGAACGUACCUUUUGGUUCGGAAUAACGCAGAGAAAUUUGCGCUAAUACCGGAUGAGCCCUUCGGGGGAAAGAUUUAUCGCCGAAAGAUCGGCCCGCGUUGGAUUAGGUAGUUGGUGUGGUAAAGGCGCACCAAGCCUACGAUCCAUAGCUGGUCUGAGAGGAUGAUCACCCACACUGGGACUGAGAAACGGCCGAGACUCCUACGGGAGGCAGCAAUGGGGAAUCUUGCGCAAUGGGCGAAAGCCUGACGCAGCCAUGCCGCGUGAAUGAUGAAGGUCUUAGGAAUGUAAAAUUCUUUUACCAGGGACGAUAAUGACGGUACCUGGAGAAGAAGCCCCGGCUAACUUCGUGCCAGCAGCCGCGGUAACAC